rnacentral:SRP_RNA from 1 species
UGGAAGGCUAGGCUGGCGGGUUAGUCCUCCGCUGUUGCCGUCAACGGACUUCAGGCGGAGCCGAAGCCAAAGGAGCGGCAUGUGCAAUCAGGGAGGGUCCUGAAAUCAACGGUGAAACUCUGUCCUCUGGGAUUGCAGCUUUUGCGAACCUCGUCAGGACGGGAACGGAGCAGCGAUAAGCGACUGCCGCGGUGCUUAGGGGAUAGCGGAGUUGAGGAGAUUUUAGGGGAAGCCUGAACUGGCGGCGCGUGUCCAUCCCUUGGCGUGCCUUCCU